rnacentral:rRNA from 1 species
UAACAAGGAUUCCCCUAGUAACGGCGAGUGAAGCGGGAAGAGCUCAAAUUUGUAAUCUGACGGUCCACGGCCGUCCGAGUUGUAAUCUGGAGAAGCGUUUUCGAGCGCCGGCCCGCGUACAAGUCCCCUGGAACGGGGCGUCGCAGAGGGUGAGAAUCCCGUCCCCGACGCGGUCCUGCCGGCGCGUUGCGAUGCGCUCUCGAAGAGUCGAGUUGUUUGGGAAUGCAGCUCAAAACGGGUGGUAAAUUCCAUCUAAAGCUAAAUACCGGCGAAAGACCGAUAGCGAACAAGUACCGUGAGGGAAAGAUGAAAAGCACUUUGGAAAGAGAGUCAAACAGUACGUGAAAUUGUUGAAAGGGAAACGCUCCAAGUCAGUCGCGUCCGCCGGGACUCAGUCGCGCUCCGAAAGGGGCGAGACGUACUUCCCGCGUCCGGACGGGCCAGCGUCGAUUUCGACCGUCGUAGGAAGCCGCCGGGAACGUGGCACCUCCGGGUGCGUUAUAGCCCGGCGGUAGGAUCGCGACGGACGGGAUCGAGGGAUGCAGCGCGCCCCCCCUCUCGAGGGGGGCCGGGGUUCGCCCACGUAACGCGCUUGGGAUGCUGGCUUAAUGGCUUCGAGCGACCCGUCUU